rnacentral:rRNA from 1 species
AUUGAACGCUGGCGGCAUGCUUUACACAUGCAAGUCGAACGGCAGCAUGGGCUUCGGCCUGAUGGCGAGUGGCGAACGGGUGAGUAAUGCAUCGGAACGUACCCAGUCGUGGGGGAUAACGUAGCGAAAGUUACGCUAAUACCGCAUACGACCUGAGGGUGAAAGCAGGGGAUCUUUGGACCUUGUGCGAUUGGAGCGGCCGAUGUCAGAUUAGCUAGUUGGUGGGGUAAAGGCCUACCAAGGCGACGAUCUGUAGCGGGUCUGAGAGGAUGAUCCGCCACACUGGGACUGAGACACGGCCCAGACUCCUACGGGAGGCAGCAGUGGGGAAUUUUGGACAAUGGGCGCAAGCCUGAUCCAGCCAUGCCGCGUGCGGGAAGAAGGCCUGGUUGU